ACCCUCGUAGAUGAAUUGGUACAUCACUCAUUCUGACUUUUGAAUAAGAAGCAUGGACAUGGAAAUGGGAAGCGGAGGUUCGAAUCCUCCCGAGGACA